rnacentral:rRNA from 1 species
UACGGAGGAUGCGAGCGUUAUCCGGAUCUAUUGGGUUUAAGGGUGCGUAGGCGGACUGUCAAGUCAGCGGUAAAAUUGAGAGGCUCAACCUCUUCCCGCCGUUGAAACUGGUGGUCUUGAGUGGAUGAGAAGUACGCGGAAUGCGUGGUGUAGCGGUGAAAUGCAUAGAUAUCACGCAGAACUCCGAUUGCGAAGGCAGCGUACCGGCAUCCAACUGACGCUGAGGCACGAAAGCGUGGGGAUCAAACAGG